rnacentral:rRNA from 1 species
GAUGAACGCUGGCGGCGUGCUUAACACAUGCAAGUCGAGCGAGAAAAGUUCUUCGGAGCUUUUCUAGCGGCGGACGGGUGAGUAACACGUGGGCAACCUGCCUCAUAGAGGGGAAUAGCCUUCCGAAAGGAGGAUUAAUACCGCAUAACAUUGUUGAAAGGCAUCACAUGAUAAUCAAAGGAGUAAUCCGCUAUGGGAUGGGCCCGCGGCGCAUUAGCUAGUUGGUGAGGAAACGGCUCACCAAGGCGACGAUGCGUAGCCGACCUGAGAGGGUGAUCGGCCACAUUGGGACUGAGACACGGCCCAGACUCCUACGGGAGGCAGCAGUGGGGAAUAUUGCACAAUGGGGGAAACCCUGAUGCAGCAACGCCGCGUGAGUGAUGAAGGUCUUCGGAUUGUAAAGCUCUGUCUUUGGGGACGAUAAUGACGGUACCCAAGGAGGAAGCCACGGCUAACUACGUGCCAGCAGCCGCGGUAACAC